GGGGGCCCUGUGGGUAGGAGGCGGGGAGAUUGAGCGCCUGGCCGGCGCGCGCGUCGCCUGGCCCCUCAGAGGGAGGCCGAUGGCGGCCGAGGAGCCCAUGGAAGUGGACCUGCCGCCCGUAGCCGAGGCCGACGAGCGGGAGCCGCCCGCCGCGGCCGAUCGCGAGGAAGCCUCGGGGCGCCGUCCGGCGGUUGCCCGCUCCUCACGGGACGCUCUGGUGGCGGAGGCGCGGAGGCCGCGUCGCCCCCGGAGGAACCUGGCUGGCGCCCCUCGGGCAGCACCUGCAUCGUCGUCCUCCCAACGGGCAGCCCGGGCCAGAUCCACAGCGUCACUGGACAGUUAUUUCCAGGUCAGUAGGCCCCAACCGACAGAACCGUCCCUUCUAGUAAUCCACAAUGACGGCAGCUCAGAUGAAACGGUGGUUGUAAGUGAUUCCGAGAGCAGCAGCAACAGCCCCACGGAGGACGAAGAGGAACCAGCAAGAAACUUAGAGGAAAUACCUCUAAUUGGCUUGGAAGUAAUUGUCUCAAAUCCAAUGGAGCCUCCUGGAGAUAAUUCUAAUGAGAUAGAGCAUCCUGAUUCUAGAGUCACUGCUUCCCAACCAAAGAAGGUGAGAGAAGGUGAAGUUGAAUACCUGGAUCCUUAUUUUCCUGAGCUACCUUCCGUAUUUUCUUUUUUCCAGACAACUCCAUUAAAGAAAAGCAAUCAGGCGGCAUCUCUGGUUCCUUUGGAAGAGGACAGUGGGGAUACCUGUGCCAUCUGUUUUGAAGAGUGGACGAAUGCUGGGCAGCAUCGUCUUGCUGCACUGCGCUGCGGGCAUCUCUUUGGCUACAGCUGCAUUGAGAGGUGGCUGAAGGGUCAAGUUGGCAAAUGCCCCCAGUGCAAUAAGAAAGCCAAACGUACAGAUAUUGUUGUCCUUUAUGCCCGUACUCUGAAAGCACUGGACACCACUGAACAGGAAAACAUGAAAAGCUCUUUAGAAAAGGAACAAGUCUUGCGAAGGAAAGCAGAACUGGAAUCAGCCCAGAGUCGCCUUCAGCUGCAGGUCAUGACGGAGGAGUGCAGCAAACUGAAGCAGCAAGUACAGGAACUGAAGGCUUUGCUAGCCCGGCACAAAGCUAGCUCCUCCUCUCAGCAGUCCAGCAGUGCUCGCUCUUGCUUUCCCGGCUGCCUCUCCUCCAGCCAGGGUCAGCACAAGUACCAUUUUGAGAGAGCCUUUCUGGUCUCUCAGAUGGGCAACUGCCGGGUGAUGGCUUACUGUGACCCCCUGAGCUGCCUCGUGGUCUCGCAGCCCUCUCCGCAAAGUACUCUCCUUCCUGGUUAUGGAAUUAAGAUGAUGAGUGCUGUCAACCUGAAGAGCAGUCAGUAUGUGCCCAUCCACAGCAAGCAGAUCCGGGGCCUGGCCUUCAGCAACCGGGCAGAUGGCUUGCUCUUAUCUGCUUCUUUGGACCAUACGCUCAGGCUUACAAGCUUAGCCACAAACACUGUUGUACAGACCUAUAAUGCUAACCGCCCCAUCUGGUGCUGCUGCUGGUGUCUCGACGACACCAACUACGUCUAUGCUGGUUUGGCUAACGGGUCUAUCUUGGUCUAUGAUCUGCGGGACACAAACUCCCAUGUCCAGGAACUGGCUCCACAGAAGACCAGGUGUCCUGUGGUGUCUUUAUCUUACCUUCCUCGAAUGGCUUCGGCUUCACUGCCAUAUGGUGGACUGGUGUCUGGAACGCUGGAAGGAGCCUGUUUCUGGGAGCAGAAGUCUAGCAAUUCCUACCAACCUCAUGAUCUCCUCCUUGAACCCGGAGGUUGCAUUGACCUUCAGACAGAAGCCAGCACACGGCAUUGCCUUGCAACAUUCAGGCCCAACCGAAACAACAACUGUUUGCAGUGUGUGGUGAUGGAGUUGACGUCUAUUCAGCUGACAGACCGAGAUGAUGAAAUUGUCUGUUCGUGCAACCCCAUUCAGACUCUUACUGCAGGUCCAACGUGCAAACUCUUAACCAAAAAUGCCAUUUUUCAAAGUCCCGAAGAUGACGGCAGCAUCCUUGUGUGUGCGGGGGACGAAGCAUCUAACUCUGCCAUGCUCUGGGACGCAGGAAGUGGAACUCUGAUUCAGAAACUGCCUGCUGAUCUUCCUGUGUUGGAUGUCUGUCCUUUUGAGGUGAAUCGCAACAGCUUUCUUGCUACUUUGACAGAGAAGAUGGUGAAAAUUUACAAGUGGCAGUGACUGUCUCCCUUGCCUUCCAAGCGGACGUUUUGCUGCUAAUUGGAUCUUGGCUCUCUUGAAGACAGGAUUAUUCGUGAACCACCUUAGAUCUGUACCUCAGGAAUCAUGUCACUACUGGUGAAACUAUGACCUUGACAGUUCCUCCCUUUGUUGUCAGGAUGAUGCCUCUGCACUUGUUCAGAUAAGUCAUAGUUUUGCUUCCCAAAGUAAGCAUCUUUUUGCUACAGUUUCUGAUUUUAAAAAGAUAAACUCUGUUACUAUUUCAGCUUUCUACUUGCAUUGGGGUGGCAUAAUUUUGAUAUCAUAUUGAGCAGCAGGCUGGCUUUUACAUUCCCUUAUUUCACCUUCCACAAUAAAUCUUUUAGGUUUUUCUCCCUUCUAGUUUUCCGCAGAAAUCACCAUCUUAGUUUGUUACUGCUUUUCUCAGCAAUAUUAAUCCCAAUUUCUAUUUCCAUCAUUUGUGCAGAUAUGCUAAAUACAGGUAGUCUUUGACUUAUGACAACAAUUGAGCUCAAGAUUUCUGUUGCUAAGCAAGACAGUUGUUAAAUGAACUUUGCCUGAUUUUAUGACCUUUCUUGCCACAGUUGUUAAGUGAAACAUUACAGUUGUUAGUAACGUGAUCGUUAAGUGAAUCUGGGUUCCCCAUUGACUUUGCUUGUCAGAAGGUCACAAAAGGGUCACAAAACUGCACCCCAUCAUAAUAUGAGCCAGUUGCCAAGUGUCUGAAUUCUGAUCACAUGUUGCAGAUGUUGCAACGGUUGUAAGUGUGAAAAACAAUCAUUUUAAGUCACUUUUUUCAGCACCAUUGUAACUUUGAACAGUCACUAAGUGAACUGUUGUAAGUCGAGGACUACGUGUCUGCUUGCAAACCACAAGAACUAUUUUAGCUGCAUUGUGUAACAUUUUAAAUGGUUCUGCUAGUAAUAUCAACCAGAAUAUGAAGCUUUGCUAUUAGCAAUAUUUCUCAUUUAGCAAUAUGCCCAUCUAACUUUCCAGAUUGUCUGACAGUAGUUCUAUGACUGAAACUUCAUCUGUAUCAGUAAUUUGGGGACGUUUUGUGUACAGUUCUGCAAUGUAAUUCGCAUUGUUUCUUCUGUAUAUCACUCCCCCCACCCCGAUCUUUGCCUUCUCUAUUUCUAUGUCCAUCGCUCCAUGAAAAGUUUCCUUAAUUUCUGUGUCUUUCUUAAGAAAACAACAACUCUUAUUCCUCCCAUGGUGACGGUGGCUACGGGAAUUACAUGGUGGCCUAACUUUGGAGGAAGAACUAUGUUUACAUUACCACUGUUUUUGUUUAAUACACCUCUGAGGAUCAAUGUGCUUGUGUUGCAAUGUAAUUGGAGAAUAAUUGUUUGAAUGUUUGCGUUGUAGCCAGUUGUGUUUGACGGUGCAAUGUUGAAAGAGAAUGUGUGCUUUUAUAUUUUAAAUAUUUGUAUAUUGGUGGCUUUUAAAUGGAGUGUUUGCUUUAGAAUUUGAACAGUUUGGGUGUCAGGCCUGGAAACCAUACUAGACUUUAGGGUUCCAGAUGCUGCCACAUUUUUCCCCUGAGGGGAAGAAGGGGGGCUGAGGGGUAUGGUAACAUUCUUCAAGCGGUCAAGGUCGGAUGGUGUUCACAUCUGCAGGAAGAGUGGCAAGAAGAUACUCGAAUGAACUGGGAGAACGUGGGACCAUGUGACCAUCAAAGGGGUCAGGGGGGUGGGACUCUUGGGGUUUGUAUAACUGGGAAAAGAAUCCGGAAAUUCAGUUUUGGAAUUUCACUCAUCGUGUGCCAGUUUCCUCAUGCUAGUAAAGAACUCUGGAAAACAAUGGCUUCUGAGGUUUUUUUAUGCAGAAGAGGUUUUUCUGGAACCUUGACAUUGGGUGUGUGCUACCGUAGCUUUUGGUAAUAAUGAGCCAUUUCUCGUUACACUGAAAUCUGCUUAUUGUUUAUUUCUUUGAUGCUUGUUUGCAGUGUGGGCUGGAGUUGGGAUGUGAUUCGGGGAGGUUGUGUGACUCUGUGCAAUGUCUUAUGCAGGUAGUCCUUAAAUUUAACAGCAGUUUACUUAAUAAAGUUCAAAGUUACAACAUCACUGAAAAAAGUGACUUACGACCAUUUUUUACAGUUACAACCGUUAACAGCAACCCCACAGUCAUGUGGUCAAGUUCAGAUGCUUGGCAACUGACUCAUAUUUAUGACAGUUGCAGUAUCCCAGUGUCAUGUGAUCAUCUUUUCUGACCUGACAAGCAAAGUCAAUGGGGAACCCAGAUUCACUUAACAACCGUGUUACUAGAAUAUAGAGUAGAGUAGAGUAGAAUAGAAUAGAAUAGAAUAGAAUAGAAUAGAAUAGAAUAGAAUAGAAUAGAAUUUUUUAUUGACCAAGUGUGAUUGGACACACAAGGAAUUUGUCUUGGUGCAUAUGCCCUCAGUGUACAUAAAAGAAAACAUACCUUCAUCAAGGUACAACACUUACAACACUUAAUGAUAGUCAUUGGGUACAAAUUUAACACUUAAUGAGUCAACCCUUAAUGGUAGUCAUAGGAUACAAAUAAACAAUCAGGAAACAAUAUCAGUAUAAAUCAUAAAGAUACAAGCAAAAAAGUUACAGUCAUAAGUGGAAGGAGAUGGGUGAUGGGAACAAUGAGAAGAUUAAUAGUAGUGUAGAUUUAGUAAAUAGUUUGACAGUGUUGAGGGAAUUAUUUGUUUAGCAGAGUGGUGGCGUUCAGGAAAAAACUGUUCUUGUGUCUAGUUGUUCUGGUGUGCAGUGCUCUGUAGCAUCGCUUUGAGGGUAGGAGUUGAAACCGUUUAUGUCCAGGAUGCGAGGGGUCUGUAAGUAUUUUCACAGCCCCCUUUUUGACUCAUGCAGCAUACAGGUCCUCAAUUGGUAGCCAUUAUUUUUUCUGCAGUUCUAAUUAUCCUCUGAAGUCUGUGUCUGUCUUGUGGGUUGCAGAACCAAACCAGACAGUUAUAGAGGUGCAGAUGACAGACUCAAUAAUUCCUCUGUAGAACUGAAUCAGCAGCUCCUUGGGCAGUUUGAGCUUUCUGAGUUGGCGCAGAGAGAACAUUCUUUGUUGUCCUCUUGAUGAUGUUUUUGAUGUUAGCUGUCCAUUUUAGACAAUUUAACAAUUGCAAUGAUUCACUUAACAACUGUGGCAAGAAAGGUCGUAAAAUGCAGCCAAACUCAACAAAUGUCCCACAUAGCAACAGAAAUUUUAGGUUCAAUAGUGGUCGUAAGUCAAGGACUACAUGUAUUUGUGGUAAUUUGAGGGCUGUUCAGUUUUCACGCUUAAACUGCACUUUGGGUGGAGAGUUGAUGGAUAAAUGCUUUACCUUUAUAAAGUACAGGUAUACAGUCCUCAACUUACAAGAGUUCUUUUAGUGACAGUUCAGAGUUUCAACACCACAUGGCUGCUUUUCACACUUACGACUGUAGCAGCAUCCACAUGGUCAUGUGAUCAAAACUCAGACAUUCAAUACUGGUAUGUAUUUGUGAAAGUUGCACUUUCCCGAGAUCAUAUGAUCCCCUUUUGCGACCUUCUGACAAGCAAGGUCAAUGGGAGAAGCCAGUUUCGCUUAACUUAUCCACUUCAGUGAUUCACUUAACUGUGGCAAGAAAGAUCAUACAAUAGGACUAAACUCACUUAGCAACUGUCUCGCUUAACAACAAAUUUUUGUGGUCAUAAGCCAAGGAUUACCUGUAGUUCAGUGUUUGGGAAUAUAUUGAUAGGAUAGGAUUUGCAUAAAGCAAACAUUACAUAUGCAUGAAAAGAUGUAGCAGCAUUUGGAAAGCUACGUUGUCUUUCUGCUUCCAGGCCAUGACAUUUCCUCUUUGCAAUAGAUCCUGUCUUAAGCUAGCAAUGAUAAUGAAGGAAAACAGGAAUAAGGUUUAGCUCAGUUCUGGGAUUUUUUCCUUUGCUUCUAGAAAUGUCAAGGGUGCCUUGUGUAUUUGUUUUUCCAUCACCAUUUUAAUGUUUCUUUACAAUUAUGCAGGAACUGGGAACAUUUUCAAAUCCUGCCUGGGGUUAUUUGUGAAGAGAACAUAUUUUCCCUUUCCGUUCUGGGCAGGCUGACUUUCCAAGAUGGGAUUGUAUAUAGUGCUAAAAGGUGUUGGACUAAUGCGGAUUCAAGUUCAUUCUUGUGCAUAGAAACUUCCGGGCUGGUUUUGAACCAGUUACAUUUUCUCAGCCAAACCGACCUACUUAAACUCCAGAAAUAAAUUAGAAGAUAAUCCAAAUUUUUUUUAAAAUGGUUGAACUCAGGAUCACAUAUCAUAGUCUCAUGUCAAGUCAUAUUAGAGUAUUAUAAGAACAUGUCUUCUCUGCGUAAGGAUUAAUCAGAAUAGAGCUGUAAGGGACUUUGGAGGUCUUCUAAUCCAUCCCCUUGCUCAAGCAGGAGAAACUACAUCAUUUCAGACAAGUGACUGUCCAGUCUCUUCUUAAAAAUAUCCAGUGAUUUCUGAAGGCAAGCUGUUCCAUUGAUUAAUUGUCCUCACUGUUAGGAAGUUACUCCUUAAUUCCAGGUUGCUCGCCUCUUUGAUUAGUUUCCAUCUAUUGUUUCUUGUCCUGCCUUCUGCUUUGGAAAAUAAGUUGACCCUCUCUUCUUUGUGGCAGCCUCCCCGGAAUACUGGAAUACUGCUAUCAUGUCCCCACUAGUCCUUCUUUUCUCUAGACCCCAGUUCUUGCAACUCUAGAACUCAGUUAAUCGUUUCAUAGUUCCCAUCACCAAUCUCUUUCCACUUAUGACUGUAUGACUAUAACUUGUUGCUGGCAAUCCUUAUGAUUUAUAUUGAUAUAUUGAUCAUCAAUUGUGUUGUAAAUGUUGUACCUUGAUGAACGUAUCUUUUCUUUUAUGUACACUGAGAGCAUAUGCACCAAGACAAAUUCCUUGUGUGUCCAAUCACACUUGG